CACGCCGUAAACGAUGAGUGCUAAGUGUUAGGGGGUUUCCGCCCCUUAGUGCUGGAGCAAACGCAUUAAGCACUCCGCCUGGGGAGUACGGUCGCAAGACUGAAACUCAAAGGAAUUGAC
rnacentral:rRNA from 1 species